AGUGGAGACAUUUCUAGGACUGCCCUUGGGGGCUCAAGAGCCAAUCCCUGCCUUACAUUUGAAGAUUCCUAACUCUUGCACUGAAGAGCCGGGAGGAAAAGGCCGGUGGAGCACCGCCCUUCCAUCCUCCCAGAGGGCGGGCACACCUGUGAUGGACAGAUACACUGGGGUCUCUGGAACAGAAGGGCAGAGGGUGCACUCCCACAGAUGGCUUUGCUUGGAGUUUGAGUGCUGAGGAUCGAACCCAGGACUUCGUGCAUGCUUGGGGAGUCCUUCUCCAUUGAACUGUAUCCUCGACUGAAUUCUUUUGUCGUGAUUCAGAGGCUGAGACUGUAGCUGAGUUGCUGGCUGCUUUCUUUGUAUGCACAGGACUGAGAUUCCAUUCCCAGAAUUUUAUAAGCCACGUGCCAAUAAUCACCGCAUACCAGACUCCCACGAAGGCAGGAGGUUCAAGGUCAUCCUUGGCUACAU